rnacentral:rRNA from 1 species
UACGUAGGGUGCAAGCGUUGUCCGGAAUUAUUGGGCGUAAAGAGCUCGUAGGCGGUUUGUUGCGUCGGCUGUGAAAUCCCGAGGCUCAACCUCGGGUCUGCAGUCGAUACGAGCAAACUAGAGUGUUGCAGGGGAGACUGGAAUUCCUGGUGUAGCGGUGAAAUGCGCAGAGUAUCAGGAAGAACACCAAUGGCGAAGGCAGCUCUCUGAGACGGUACUGGACGCUGAGG